AUGGAGAUCACCAAUGUCACAGAGUACCAGGCCAUCGCCAAGCAAAAGCUUCCCAAGAUGAUCUACGACUACUACGCCUCCGGCGCCGAGGACGAGUGGACGCUCCAGGAGAACAGAGAGGCCUUUGCCAGGAUCCUGUUCCGCCCGCGCAUUCUCAUCGAUGUAUCCAAAAUCGACAUGACAACAACUAUCCUGGGAUUCAAGCUCUCAAUGCCUAUCAUGAUUUCCCCCACUGCCAUGCAGAAGAUGGCUCACCCAGAUGGAGAGUAUGCGACUGCCCGCGCAGCAUCAGCAGCAGGCACUAUAAUGACAUUGUCGUCCUGGGCUACUUCGAGUGUUGAGGAGGUUGCCUCAACCGGACCAGGGAUCCGCUUCUUCCAACUCUAUGUGUACAAAGACAGGAAGGUGGUCGAGCAGCUUGUGAGGAGAGCGGAAAAGGCUGGAUUCAAGGCGAUAGCGCUCACCGUGGACACCCCGCGACUUGGCCGCAGGGAAGCUGAUAUCAAGAACAGAUUUGUUUUGCCACCAAAUUUGACACUCAAGAACUUUGAAGGUUUGGACCUUGGCAAAAUGGACCAGGCUAACGAUUCAGGACUAGCUUCAUAUGUCGCCGGUCAAAUCGACCGUACACUGAGCUGGAAGGAUGUGAAGUGGCUGCAGUCCAUCACCACGAUGCCGAUCCUGGUGAAAGGAGUGAUCACCGCAGAGGACAGCAGGCUCGCCGUGGAGAACGGCGCGGCCGGAAUCAUCGUGUCCAACCACGGCGCCCGGCAGCUGGACUACGUCCCGGCGACCAUCAGCGCCCUGGAAGAGGUCGUGAAGGGUGCUGGCGGGCAGAUCCCCGUCUUCCUGGACGGCGGUGUGCGCCGCGGCACCGACGUCUUCAAGGCGCUCGCUCUCGGCGCCGCCGGUGUCUUCAUCGGAAGGCCGGUGGUGUUCUCGCUGGCGGUGGCCGGGGAGGCCGGGGUGAGCAACGUGCUCAAGAUGCUGCGCGACGAGUUCGAGCUGACCAUGGCGCUCAGCGGCUGCAACUCGCUGGCCGACAUCACCCGCAACCACGUCGUCACCGAGGCCGACAAAUUCGGCGUCAUGCCGUCCCGCUUGUAA
rnacentral:rRNA from 1 species